CCCUCGUGAUGACACCUGCACACGUCUUACGCCGUGCGCCGAUGCCAGACCUGAAAAGGUGAACCCACUGGCGUCGCCGCGGCAGCAAGGGGACGGCGUGUUGGGGUUACCAACAGUCUGAAUGGGA
rnacentral:snoRNA from 1 species